UGGGGAAUAUUGCACAAUGGGCGAAAGCCUGAUGCAGCAAUGCCGCGUGUGUGAAGAAGGCCUGCGGGUUGUAAAGCACUUUCGGUAGGGAAGAUAAUGACGGUACCUACAGAAGAAGCACCGGCUAACUCCGUGCCAGCAGCCGCGGUAAUACGGAGGGUGCAAGCGUUAAUCGGAAUUACUGGGCGUAAAGCGCGCGUAGGCGGCUUUGUAAGUCGGAUGUGAAAGCCCCGGGCUUAACCUGGGAAUUGCAUUCGAUACUGCAUAGCUAGAGUAUGGUAGAGGGUAGCGGAAUUCCGGGUGUAGCGGUGAAAUGCGUAGAUAUCAAGAGGAACACCUGAGGUGAAGACGGGUUGCUGGGCUGACACUGACGCUGAGGCGCGAAAGCCAGGGGAGCAAACGGGAUUAGAUACCCCCGUAGUCCCUGAGCGGGCUGGCAAGGCGCAU
rnacentral:rRNA from 1 species